AAAAAAAAGAAAGUAUAAGGUUACCUUAUAAAUAAAUAAAUAAAUAAAUAAUAUUUAAGGUUUUAAUGAGUUUACUAAAAGAAAUAUUGACUUUUAGAUAAGAUGAAAAAAUAGUAUUAAUGAAUAUAGACCAUUUUAUCCAAAAAGAAUUAUGAACUAAUAUAGAUUUGAUUGAGUUUAAUAUUACUUUAACUCAUUCCACUAAUACAAAUGCUGAUGGGGAAUCCAUGUGGCUAAUAGGGAAAGAGCAUUUUAAUAAUUAUUAUUUUUAGCUGUGAUAAUAACAUUUUUUUUUAUAUAAAGAAACGUAUAAUAUUUUAUUUUCGAGAAAAAGAAAUAAAUAUAGAUUGGAAAAGAAAUGGAUAUAUAUCUUUUCUACAUUUGUUGAGAAUGGUUUUGAUGAUUUAAUAUAAAUGACCGAAUAAAGUAUCAUAAACAGAUCUACAUACUUUUCUACUUAUAAAUAUCUUGAUAAUGAUAUUGUAUUCAAAAUAUAUAUAUAUAUAUAAAUUUACAUGUUCAUGUUUAUACUUUAUAAUAUAUUUUUUAAUCUUUUUCAACUUUUAAAUCUUUUAUUUUAAUUGUUCUAAUUUUGCCUUAAAAAAUAACAUUAAUUACUUGCUCAAGAGUCGUUCUAAAAUGUGAUUGUUGUCUAUUUCUUGUAUAGUUUGAAAUAUUCAUAUUGAAUAAUUGAAUUAUAAAAUAUAGGAAAAGUUAUCCGACUUAUUAUAUCUCAAUAAAAAAUAUUAAAAAGCUAAAUAAAGAAAAUACUUAUUUUUAUUAUAAAUAGUUUUCUAUAGGUGUAAUUAUUUUGUAAAAUUUGUUAUUUGUUAUUUUUUUUCUUUUUUUAAAUAUGAUAAUUUCUCUAUGUAUUUAUACUAAGUAAAAUAAAUUAGAUAAAAUUCCACAACUAAAAUAUAAUAUUUGAAAUUUUUGUGAUCAAAGUAGGAUAAUUAUAAGUCUUACGGACAUAUUUAAUAUAUUUUACCAUAAGAAGAAGUAUGCAAUACAAUACAUUCAUCACGCGCGUAUAAAACUUUACUUCACAUAAAAUUUUUCUUUAGAACAAUCAUUCCUUUCAUAAACGUCAGUCAUAUGAAAAAACACAUCUUUACAAAUGAACAAAAAAUUUAGAAGGAUGUUUUGAAAACAUUAAACAAUUGAAGAAUCACUCACAAUCCUUAGUUCCCUUUAGCUUAGAGCGCCUAGUCUUCGAGCUUUUUCUCGCCUAAUACUUCUUCUUAGUAGAAUAACACUAGAUUCUUGCACAAUCCUCCUUUAUCGUCCAUUUCCUUCUUUUUGUACUAAUCUUCAAAAUAGAUUAGUCAUCCUUAAGUCCUUAAUAACUUGCUAGCUUCUACUUGAAGUUUUUACAUGUGUAAGUUCAAUGCUCAUUUUGACCAUGCUUAAGUUUAACCUUACACGUAAACAACUAUUAAAUCAUGAUUAGACGUAUUCCUCACAUAAUCUCAUCUCGCGUUAUACUUCAGAAUGCCCAACACUUUGUUAAACACGUACUUCUUUAAUGCGUCACCUCCCUUGAUCAAUGCCAGCUUCAAAAGACACGCUCCCUUUGAAAACAUAUUUUCCUCACACUUAGUCAAAAUGACCCUUCUAUUCAGACACGAGCCUCACAAUCAGAGUAUAACAGAUUUUACAGUAUAAUGAUGGAAAGAUCUCUUACAUAGGUAUGCAUGAAAAAUGAGACUAGACUAAGAGAAGAUGAAAACGAAAGUUAAGUCUAGGAAAGACGCAAUAUGUGUGAGAUUUGAGGGAGAAUUAAAAAAAAAAAAAGGUUGAAAAGACCAACUUAAAAAUAAAUGUAAAAUAUAGAAAGAAAGAAACACACAAAAGUUGAAAAGAGAAAUGAUAAUUGUGGGUGUAAAAUUUGACCCGUUAGCCCCAAUCAACCACAAUACCACGUUCUAGAUGUCGUCAAAGGCGCGUGUAUCACACGUGAAUCCACCAAUUGUGGGCCCCAAAAGCCAAACGAAAAUAAUCUCUCUUUUAAGAGACCCCAUUAUUGUUUUUACCAAACAAAACAUAUCAUUAACCCUUAACUCUAAUUUUAAUUAUUUUCAAUCCAUUUUAAAUUUAAUCUAUAUACAAACAAAUGAAAACUUUCAAAACCAUUAUUUUAUUUUAAAUUUAGAGCAGAAAAAAAGUUUAUAAUUUUUAUAUAAAUUCUAUUAUCAUAAUCUUUUUUACUAUUUUACUAUACACGUUUUAACGUUUAUAUAAAUUUGAAAGUUUAAGGGUCUGACUAUAAUUAUCGUGUAGGUGGUACCGUUUAUUCAAAAUUAAUUGGAGGAGACAAACUAUGGGAGAAAAUUGAAGGUGCAUGUUUUGAACUAAAAUUAAAGAAAGUUUUUAAAAUAUAAUAAUUUGGGAUGAGAAAUAUAUAAUAUAAUUUAGAGGAAUUAAAGAAAAAAGAGGAUGAAUUAGAGCUGACUAUGCUUUCUCAUCUGUCUGACGCUGAGUUGCUGACCAAUCUACAGCAUGGAUUGAACUAAAGCCCUAAAUUAAAAUAUCAAAAAAAAAAAAAAAAAUUAUAAUUAUAAACACACAUCGGUAAACCCUAUUAUUUAUUUUAUAAUCUUAAUUAAUCAGCUUCAUAACAUUUACAUAAUUUCAUUUAAGUGCAGUCAUGUUUUCAAUUUUAUUCCACUUUUGUUUUCUAAUUUUUAAGACAUAUAUUUAAUAUUCAAUUUUUUAGAUUUAUUCCAUUUUGAUCAGGUUUCUAUAUUAGCCUCUACCUUCAAAUAAAAAUUACAUUUUUACUUUUUUUUUUCCUUAAAAAAUAUAACAAGCUGUUGAAAUAUUUAUUAUAAUUUGAAAACUGAAAAGAAUCUAAACUAUUUUUUCAGUAUUUUUUUAUAUUUGAUACACAAUUAAUAACAUAAUUUUUUUUUGAGUAAAUGAAAAAAGGAAAUAAAAUAAGAAGCAAAUAAAAUAAACCUCAAGGCUUUUCUUAAGGAAUAGAAAGGAAAUUUAAAGUAGAAAGGAAUUAGAUGGGAGAGAGAGAAAGAAAAGUAUUGGGUUCGGUUGGUCUGGUUCGCUCCGGUUCGAUUUUUAUUGCUUUUUCUUAUAUGGGCAUUGGCCGCAUAGAUGGAUUUCUUGUUCAAUAGUAUUAUGAAAAGGAAAAGGAAGCAAGGAAGCAGAGAGAGAGAGUAGAAGAAUAAAAAAGAAAAAAAGAGAAAAAAAUAAAAAUAAAAAAGCGAGCUGAAACUCAGAGAAAGAACUGAAGUGAAAAAUCAACCAACAGAAAGGAAACGAAAGAAUGGUGGAUUGAAGAAGAAAGUGGUUCCUUCUUCAGAUGGGAAAGACGAACAGUAGAAGAAUUUAUGGUUGUUGUUUGGGUAACAAAGAAGGAAUUUUAAGCUUCGAGAUGCGAGCUACUGAUUCCGGUAGAAAAGGAACCUUCUCCGUACUCCUUCUAUACCUCCUUUUGAUUCUCAUUUUACCAAGCAUUUAAGUUUCAAAAUCCCUUCACAAAUUUCUUCUUCUUCUUCUUCUUCUUCUUCUUCUUCACAAGCUGCUUCUUUUUCUGUUUCAUCUUACUUCAAUCUGGUCUUCUUUUGGUGUUUUUCUUCUGGGGUUGCUUUAUUUUGACUUGGCUUUCUGUUUGUAUAUCAAAUCAAGCUAACUUU
rnacentral:lncRNA from 1 species